rnacentral:rRNA from 1 species
UACGUAGGGGGCAAGCGUUGUUCGGAAUCACUGGGCGUAAAGCGCACGUAGGCGGAUGUGUCAGUCAGGGGUGAAAUCCCGGAGCUCAACUUCGGAACUGCCCUUGAUACAGCACGUCUUGAGUCCGGAAGAGGUGGGUGGAAUUCCUAGUGUAGAGGUGAAAUUCGUAGAUAUUAGGAAGAACACCGGUGGCGAAGGCGGCCCACUGGUCCGGUACUGACGCUGAGGUGCGAAAGCGUGGGGAGCGAACAGG